rnacentral:rRNA from 1 species
GACGAACGCUGGCGGCGUGCUUAACACAUGCAAGUCGAACGGAAAGGCCCUGCUUUUGUGGGGUGCUCGAGUGGCGAACGGGUGAGUAACACGUGAGUAACCUGCCCUUGACUUUGGGAUAACUUCAGGAAACUGGGGCUAAUACCGGAUAGGAGCUCCUGCUGCAUGGUGGGGGUUGGAAAGUUUCGGCGGUUGGGGAUGGACUCGCGGCUUAUCAGCUUGUUGGUGGGGUAGUGGCUUACCAAGGCUUUGACGGGUAGCCGGCCUGAGAGGGUGACCGGCAACAUUGGGACUGAGAUACGGCCCAGACUCCUACGGGAGGCAGCAGUGGGGAAUAUUGCACAAUGGGAGGAAGCCUGAUGCAGAAACGCAGCGUGCGGGAUGACGGCCUUCGGGUUGUAAACCGCUUUCGCCUGUGACGAAGCGUGAGUGACGGUAAUGGGUAAAGAAGCACCGGCUAACUACGUG